AUGCUAUUUACCUUCUUCCCCUACUACUAUUUGUUUCCAUUAGUAGUCUCACAAAAAGUGCCUAGCGAUAUCUCAAACAAGAAGCUUAGUAAUGGGAAAAAAUCUUUCAAUGUGAUUCUCUCAAAAGAUUUUCAAGGCUGCAUAUCAGAUUUUGGUCUAACAUCUCUAACAAGUUUAUGUGUCUCCUCUAAAGUCCUCCGGUCUACCAAGCAGCGGAGGAUGAUUGAAGAUACCAGAGUAUCAACUUAUUAG